rnacentral:rRNA from 1 species
CCCUUAGAUGUCCUGGGCCGCACGCGUGCUACACUGAUGCAUACAGCGAGUACUUUCCAGCUCCGCGAGGCAGCUGGUAAUCAGCAAUAUGCAUCGUGCUGGGGAUAGAUCUUUGGAAUUAUAGAUCUUGAACGAGGAAUUCCUAGUAAGCGCAAGUCAUUAGCUUGCGCUGAUUAAGUCCCUGCCCUUUGUACACACCGCCCGUCGCUCCUACCGAUUUCGAGUGAUUCGGUGGACCUUUUGGACAGCGUCUGUCCUCGUGUCAGAUGCUGAAAGUCAAGUAAACCAUAUCACUUAGAGGAAGGAGAAGUCGUAACA